GAUUCGCUAGCUCAGCAGGUUAGAGCACAACACUUUUAAUGUUGGGUCUUGGGUUCGAGCCCCAGGCGGAUCACCA
rnacentral:tRNA from 1 species